rnacentral:rRNA from 1 species
CUAAAGAGUACUAAUUAGAAUUCCCCGAAAUAAAAGGAGCUAGUUAGAUAGUGAGUUUGUGUUACAAAACAUAGUUUUAUUUUUAACUAGGUGUGAAAGGCUGGACAACUUUUAUGAUAUCUGGAUUGAGCUAUAAUGUAUAUAGUACAGACAUUAUGUUGACUAAGCUCCUGUUAAGGGGGGUUUACAUAAGGAAAGUGCAUAGUAUUACUUGUUUCAAAUAACUUACUAUAACUUACUCCUAGUAGUUAAUGUUUUUGUUUUAUUUCUUUUUACUUAGCUCUUGAAAAUUUCAGUAAAAAAAUUUUUAAAUAAUGUUAAAAUAAGUAUUUUAAGUAAACUCUUACUAAGGAACUCGGCAAAAAUUUUGCUCAACUGUUUAUCAAAAACAUAGUUUUAUGGAACCAUAUAAAAUGAAACCUGCCCAAUGAAAUUUUAAUGGCCGCAGUACUUUAACUGUGCUAAGGUAGCAUAAUAAUUUGGCUUCUAAUUAAAGUCUGGUAUGAAAGGAUUAAUGGGUAAAAGCUGUCUUGUUCGAUUAAAAAAAAAUUAUUUAAAAGGUGAGAAUCCCUUUAAUUAGCCAAUAGACGAGAAGACCCUAGGAGUUUUCGUUUUGUUGGGGCGACAUUUAAGUAAUCUUAACCUUUUAUCUAUUAAAACGAUUAUAUUAAUAAUAAUUAAACUACCCUAGGGAUAACAGCAUAAUUUUUUAAAAGAUUGUGACCUCGAUGUUGG